CUUGGAGUGCUUUACUCAAAAUGUACAAAAAGCAGAGCUUUUGGGUUCCUUAAAGAGAGUUAGUGAAGAUUAAUGAUAAAUUGUAUUACAAGUCUUUUUAAUAUAAGGAAAUUGUGGCUUCACUGUGCAGAUGUUCCUGAGUGGACAUAGCGAAGCUACCACAGGCCUACGCACUCUUCCUAUUCAACAACCACAUUGCAAAGUCAGUCUAAACAUACAGUACUUUAAUAACAGUAUCUAGAUAUCCAAACAUCACUGGUGAUGUUUUGCUCAUGUUAUGUUAAAGUCACAAAACCAAUGAUUUGCUUCCCGGAAAGAAACUUUAUGCCAAAUGGAUUUCACAAACCGCCGUGUCAAAUGGAUUUCACAAACACCAAUAGCAAAUACAAUUACUUUACAUAAACCCAGCACCAGCUGUGAAAGACAUUCUGAAAUCAGAACAACGGUUUUAACUUUGAGUUGUUAAAACGUUUAAGUUAGGUCAUUGUAACCAAAUGAUGAAAAUCAUGUACUUACUUACACAAUAUAAUGGUACUGUAUUUGAAGAUAAAAAAUAUUGAUCUCAGUCUAAUAUUAAUAUAUUAUACUAUAACAGAUGUUAGGGAAAUAAAAUGAAGGCCUUUUCAGUGUGUUAACAUUUGGCUAAAAUUAUGUCUGGCUGUUUUAUUACAUGAUGUCAUAUAACAUCUCUUUCUCCAUAGUCCCAUUUAGGUCAUUGACUUAGGAAGUUUUCAUAAAGAACCAACCUAAACACCACAGAGCAAUGCGACAACACAAAACAAAAAUACAUACCAACAGCCACUUUACAGUUAAAUUGACAUGGAUUAUGUCCUCGGAAAAAGCACAGCAGCUCCUUGACAUUAAAUUAGAAAAACAACAUUCUCACUCAUUUAAUAUUUGUGCAAAUAAUUUCAAUACUCAAAAUGGGUUCUGUUAAAUUACUGAUUGUGAGAACUACAAUAAUUUACAACAGUGCUACAAAUGUUAUUCCAUCCUGUAAAAUACUUUGAAAAGAUUCAUAAGAAUGCUUUGGCCUUACCAGUCAAAAGGAGUCAUGCCGAUUUAUCCAAAGCAGGUCUGAAUGAUUUGACUCAGACAAAAUGCGUUUAGGCUACUGAUAUAUAUUUAUAUAUAUAUAUAUAUAUUUAGGAGGUAUUUGCUAAAGAGCACCAGUCAAGUCAGUAAUGCAACACUAAGGUGAGUAAGGACAUGAAGCCACUGCAGAAAAGGCAGCACGAUUGGUCGGCGCCUGCCGCACGAUUGGUCGGCGCCUGCCGCACGAUUGGUCGGCGCCUGCCGCACGAUUGGUCGGCGCCUACCUGGAAAACUCUUAUGAUGUGCAAGAGAUCACAUGGAAUCAAUAUGAAUGUGCAAAACAUUGACGUUACCAUGAGAGUUGCCCUGGGUUGGUCCAGUGGAUCUGGCCCGCUGCCUCCGCAAGUACUGCUGUAGCAUGGGUUCAAAUACGGCCCAUCUGCUUUCAGCAAAAACACCCUCCUCCAACUUUACCCACUGUCUCCAUCUCUAAAGCAUUAAAAAAACGCUGGAAAAAUGUUUAAAAAAUAGAUUUACAAAGACACCAUGUGAGGAAUAAUGCGCUCAGAUCUCGUUCUGUUCAAGCUGUUCUUUCAAACUUACACUCAAUACAGAAUUGAUGUUAGGUGCUAACAAUGUAAAGCAUGUCUCAGGGUCCACGCACAUGGCAAAGGUCAAAUCGAGCCAAAGCAAACGAAUAACUUACAAAAGAUGACAUAGGAAGUUACUUCCUCAAAGCUACUCAGACGGAAUUCUCAGAUAAGACACGUGAAUGUCUUUAUACCCUCAGAUUGGGCCCAGGUAGACACGUGAAUGUCUUUAAACCCUCAGAUUGGGCCCAGGUAGACACGUGAAUGUCUUUAAACCCUCAGAUUGGGCCCAGGUAGACACGUGAAUGUCUUUAAACCCUCAGAUUGGGCCCAGGUAGACACGUGAAUGUCUUUAAACCCUCAGAUUGGGCCCAGGUAGACACGUGAAUG
ensembl:lncRNA